CAGGCACAGUGGUGCAUGCCUGUAGUCCCAGCUACUCAGGAGACUGAGGCUGGAGGAUCGCUUGAGUCCAGGAGUUCUGGGCUGUAGUGAGCAAUGCCGAUCCGGUGUCUGCACUAAGUUCAGCAUCAAUAUGGUGACCUCCCAGGAGGUGGGGGACCACCAGCUUGCCUAGGGAGGGGUGAACUGGCCCAAGUUGGAAACAGAGCAGGUCAAAACUCCCAUGCUAAUCAGUAGUGUAAUCAUGCCUGUGAAUAGCCACUGUGCUCCAGCCUGGGCAACAUAGCGAGACCCCAUCUUUU
ensembl:misc_RNA Metazoa_SRP Metazoan signal recognition particle RNA